UUGCUAUCUGCGAUAUGGAAGAUUCGAACCUGCCGCAGGUUCGGGUCGAACGCAGUGAGACAACGGAGCCGUUUACGGCGACGGCCCGAAGGGCGAGCGAAGCGAGUCAUCCUGCACGACCC
rnacentral:sRNA from 1 species